rnacentral:rRNA from 1 species
GGCUCAGUAGGUUGGUCGUGCCACCGGUACGUACUGGUCAAACUGAUUCCUCCUUCCUGAAGAACCGUAAUGCCAUUAAUUUGGUGUUGCGGGGAAACAGGACUGUUACUUUGAAAAAAUUAGAGUGUUUAAAGCAAGCUAACGCUUGAAUACAUUAGCAUGGAAUAAUGAAAUAGGACGUUCGAUCCUAUUUUGUUGGUUUCUAGGAUUGACGUA